rnacentral:lncRNA from 1 species
CCUGCCUCUCCCUACACCCCAGAUGUCCACCCUGCCUGUUCCCUGACUUCCUCCAUCCUGUCCAGCAGGAUGUGCUGGGCAGUGGGACAGCCUAUGUGCACAUUUUGUGGCAAGUAGGAGUGACACACCAUCCCUGGGUGGCGCCAUGGUUCCUGCCAAACCCAACCCCAGAACUCUGUCCCUGAGGUGGUUUUACAAAACCCAAAACCCAAAACUGUGGUUGUGGCUCAGGGGUCAGCACCUGCUAGUACCAGGACACUACUGGGAGGCUGGGACCUGACCAAAGCCCAUGGUGUCUGUGGCCUGAGGACAGGGUGUCUUGGGGCCAUAAGGCCCGGCCACCAAUGGCCAUUGGGUCAUAGGGCGUCAGCCCCAGUGUUUGCCCUUCCCUGGCUCCUUCUGGUUCAGUCCCAUCAGGGCCCUGGAGCCCAAGACCCAGCACCCAAGGUCCCCUCCAGGAAUCCUGGCGUCUUGGCUUCCUUUAUCAUGUUUCAUCUGAGAGCAAAAAUGUCAGAUCGGAUGCACAGAAAAAUGGCCCAAAGUGCUUAAUGACUAGAAGAAAUCUAGCUCUCCCUCUCCCUCUCCCUCUCCCUCUCCCCCUCCCCCUCCCCUUUCUUUCUUUGGUCUCCCUCUGUUGCCAAGGCUGGACUGCACUGCCGUGAUCUCAGCUUGCUGCAAACUCCCUGCCUCAGGCUCCCGUGAUUCUCCUGCCUCGGCCUGCUGAGUGCCUGGGAUUGCAGGCACGUGCCACCACGCCUGACUGGUUUUUGCAUUUUUGGUGGACACGGGGUUUCGCCAUGUUGACCGGGCUGAUCUCCAGCUCCUGACCUCGAGUGAUCUGCCUGCCUCGGCCUCCCGAGGUGCUGGGAUUGCAGACGGAGUCAUGCUCACUCAAUGCUCAAUGUUGCCCAGGCUGGAGUGCAGUGGCGUGAUCUCAGCUCGCUACAACCUCUACCUCCCAGCCACCUGCCUUGCCUCCCAAAGUGCUAAGAUUACAGCCUCUUCCCGGCCGCCACCCCAUCUAGGAAGUGAGGAGCGUCUCUGCCUGGCCACUCAUUGUCUGGGAUGUGAGGAGCGCCUCUGCCCGGCCACCCCGUCUGGGAAGUGAGGAGUGCCUCUGCCCGGCCGCCACCCCAUCUAGGAAGUGAGGAGCAUCUCUGCCUGGCUGCCCAUCAUCUGGGAUGUGAGGAGCGCCUCUGUCUGGCCGCCCCGUCUGGGAAGUGAGGAGCACCUCUGCCCGGCCGCCCUGUCCAGGAGUCCCUCACACAGUGCAGCUUAGUGGAGAAGCACAUGGCCUGUAGAAUCAGAUGGAACCAUGUGAGGUUUGGGACCACAAGUGGAUACACAAAACAGGAAUCCUCUCCAAUAAGGAUACCCUUGAGCCAACCACUGGAGUCAAAGUCUCACCAUGUUGCCCA